AGCGGGAUUGCUGGGUCAUAUUUUAAGCGUAGGUUUAAUUUUAUAAGAAAUUGCCAAGCUGUUUUCCAGAUUGGCUGUACCAUUUUGCAUUUCCACAAGCAAU
rnacentral:pre_miRNA from 1 species